rnacentral:rRNA from 1 species
UACGAGGGGGGCGUGCGUUAUUCACACGAACUUGGCGUAAAGCGUCUUUAGGCGGUUUUUUGUCAGUUAGCAACUAAAGCUCAGAACGUAAUUCUGGAAUGUUUGCUAAGACGGUUUUUCUAGAGUUUAUUACGGGUUAGUGGUAUUUCUUCAGUAGGGUUAAAAUUCGUAGAAUGAAGAGAGAGGUCCCAGGGUGCAGACAACUAACUAGAUUAAACUGACGCCAAAGGACUAAAGCGUAGGGAGCGAUAGGG